GCUUAUGGCAGCUGUGCGUGUGGGCACCUCAGGGUGCGCCGAGGCUCCAGGGGUCCUUGGUCUGUCAACCCAUGCACAGCUGCCACCCUC
rfam:Pseudomonas putida CSV86 contig00122, whole genome shotgun sequence.